UACGAAGGGGGCUAGCGUUGCUCGGAAUUACUGGGCGUAAAGCGCACGUAGGCGGCUUUCUAAGUCGGGGGUGAAAUCCUGGAGCUCAACUCCAGAACUGCCUUCGAUACUGGAGAGCUCGAGUCCGGGAGAGGUGAGUGGAACUGCGAGUGUAGAGGUGAAAUUCGUAGAAUUAUUCGCAAGAACACCAGUGGCGAAAGGCG
rnacentral:rRNA from 1 species